AUUGAACGCUGGCGGCAUGCCUUACACAUGCAAGUCGAGCGGUAACAGGUCUUCGGAUGCUGACGAGUGGCGAACGGGUGAGUAAUACAUCGGAACGUGCCCGAGAGUGGGGGAUGACGAAGCGAAAGCUUUGCUAAUACCGCAUACGAUCUCAGGAUGAAAGCAGGGGACCGCAAGGCCUUGUGCUCACGGAGCGGCCGAUGGCAGAUUAGGUAGUUGGUGGGGUAAAAGCUUACCAAGCCGACGAUCUGUAGCUGGUCUGAGAGGACGACCAGCCACACUGGGACUGAGACACGGCCCAGACUCCUACGGGAGGCAGCAGUGGGGAAUUUUGGACAAUGGGCGCAAGCCUGAUCCAGCCAUGCCGCGUGCAGGAUGAAGGCCUUCGGGUUGUAAACUGCUUUUGUACGGAACGAAAAGACUCUGGUUAAUACCUGGGGUCCAUGACGGUACCGUAAGAAUAAGCACCGGCUAACUACGUGCCAGCCGCCGCGGUAAAAC
rnacentral:rRNA from 1 species